UUGCCUAGAAAUCCUGGAGGUGAAAAUAUGGCGACGUUAGUGCCGCUUGUUGCGAGUCUCUUUUCGUGUGCUUUUUUAGUUGUGGAAAAUAGAGCGCAGGAAAUCAGAAAAUCUGAUACGGAUCGCGAUAUAAGAAGGUUUCUAAACACCACGUCACCAAUAUGGACUGUUUUUGGUUCACCUGGUGUCAUUUGCAAAUUAGACAAAAUAAAUAACGAAACCGACACUACAGUUUACCUCAACAGAACAUAUACUAGCGGCCGUCGAAGCAACACGUCCUGGGUGCUUAAAGGACUAUUUUCUGACAUUGCUAGCGAAACUGGUCAUCACACCGUGGUUCUCUAUCACACAG